GUCCACGCCCUAAACGAUGUCAACUGGUUGUUGGACGGCUUGCUGUUCAGUAACGAAGCUAACGCGUGAAGUUGACCGCCUGGGGAGUACGGCCGCAAGGUUGAAACUCAAAGGAAAUUGACGGGGGACCCGGCACAAGCGGUGGAUGAUGUGGUUUAAUUAGAUGCAACGCGAAAACCUUAACCUACCCUUGACAUGUCUAGAAGUUACCAGAGAUGGUUUCGUGCUCGAAAGAGAACUAGAACACAGGUGCUGCAUGGCCGUCGU
rnacentral:rRNA from 1 species